AGAGUCUUUCCAACAGCUCUCACCGCUUCUUGAAGUGGCUGUGCAGAAAGCGCUUGCUUGCCAAAAUGGAGCACCGUCUUCAGGCCUGAACCCCAACCUGGCACACUGGACAGGGGAGCAGGGAGGAUCAAGAGAGCUCUGUCCACGCUUCCCAGCUCAGACUCAUCAUCUCUGACCUGGAUUCCACAGUGUCCCCGCCUCUCAGCUCUGCCACCCACUCUGACCCCCGCCAUCCGUGUCAGCCAGGAGGGAACUGGAGAGCCCUGGAAUGGACACAACAAAGGCUGCCCUCGGCUGGGCCCUCAUAAUCAACUCCCUCUCUUUCCACACCUGGAUCCCACCCUCCCUGGGCCUGUCUCCAGCAAGGCUCCCUGGGCUCUUUGUAUCUGUCAUCGGACAGGAAGAGAAUGUGCCAUUUCCUGCCCAUGGGGAGGCUACCAGCAGGGACCUGCUCUGUGACCUCCACCCCCUGUCCUUGCUGCUCCCUCUGGACAACGGCAGACUACACCUCUCUCAAGGUCUGGCUCAGGUGCCUGCUGCAGCCCCAGCACAGAAUGAACGACUCCCUCCAUAGAGACUUCCUUUCUCCCUGUGCUUCCCGGUGGGGCCACAGCAUUUGCUCCUGCCCAGGACACAAAGGAGCUCUUCAGAAUAGUCAACAUAUUCAAUUGCCUUCAUCUCUUGUAACUCAAAGUCUUGAUUUUUAUAUAACUUAGAAAAACCAUGCAGCAUAAUGCAUAUACUUAACCGCAAGCGCUUGCACUGAACACCACGAAGCAUUGGUAUAAGAUGGUAAAAUCACAAGAUGUUUUCCUCAUUUCUGAUGAUUUGCUUCUGAGUCAGAUUCAGAGAGCAGAGGAAGAAGGCUCUUUGCAGCCCUGGGGUAGCACAACCUGCUCACCAGGAGGCUCCUGGGAAACACUGCCUCUAACUUAAGGAAGGCGUUCUCUCAGAUUCCGACCAGGACAGAUUCCAAGCAGGACUGCAGUCCUGGGCUACAGGACCCUGCUCCUCACUGCAGCUCCCUUGGGCCUGGCCCAUGCUGUGGGGACAUUUCCCCUUCAGAAUAUCUUACAUCAGAAUGGGGAAUCCCAGAAGAGAUCUGAGCUGCUCUGGAAAGACCCAGCCAGGGCUUUGAAAUCAGACAGACAUGGGUCUGGAUUUUGCUCUAAGUGACCAUGGGCCAGUGAUUUCUCUUACCCCUAUUCCUCGCCUAUGCAGUGAAAAUCUCGUCAAAUGGAUGCAAAGAGCCUGGCGAGGGGCUUGGCACCUGGGGGGUAUCUUUAAAACUGUCUGUUCAGAGAAGGCACUGUCUCCAUAUGCUGAAACUGUCACAUGCCAAGGAACACUGAUGCCACCUCGUCAGCCCUGGCAGAGGCUCCAGGAGGUCUGGUGAGACCCCCACAGGCCCCAGCCUUUCCCCCUCUGUGCCCAGCAUCACCUUUAAGAAGCUGCAGCUCCUGCCUCGUAAAAGCCUUUAAAAAUUCUUUAUUAAAUUUUCAUGGCGCAUGAAGUCAAGGUUCUGUUACUUGGCCUCAGUUGUCUUGGUAACUUCUUAAAAUGCAAUAAUAAAAC
ensembl:lncRNA